rnacentral:rRNA from 1 species
CUGGCGGCGUGCCUAACACAUGCAAGUCGAGCGAUGAAACCCUUCGGGGUGGAUUAGCGGCGGACGGGUGAGUAACACGUGGGUAACCUGCCUCAUAGAGGGGGGAUAGCCUCCCGAAAGGGAGAUUAAUACCGCAUAAUGUAUUUUGUUCGCAUGAAUAAAAUAUCAAAGGAGUAAUCCACUAUGAGAUGGACCCGCGGCGCAUUAGCUAGUUGGUGAGGUAACGGCUCACCAAGGCGACGAUGCGUAGCCGACCUGAGAGGGUGAUCGGCCACAUUGGAACUGAGACACGGUCCAGACCCCUACGGGAGGCAGCAGUGGGGAAUAUUGCGCAAUGGGGGAAACCCUGACGCAGCAACGCCGCGUGAAUGAUGAAGGCCUUAGGGUUGUAAAGUUCUGUCUUCUGGGACGAUAAUGACGGUACCAGAGGAGGAAGCCACGGCUAACUACGUGCCAGCCGCCGC